UUAAUUAUGGAUUAGCACCUCCCUACCUGGCUGACCUGGUUAAGCCCUAUGUACCGGCUCGGGCCCUGCAUUUGCAGGGUGCAGGGCUUCUCUGUGUUCUGAGGGUGAAAUAAAAGUCUGCCGGUCACAGAGCUUUUUAUUAUCAUGUGCCUGUGCCGUGGAAUGAUCUCCCAGCGCACAUAAAGCAGUCAGUUACUGUGGAGACUUUUAAAUCCA